rnacentral:rRNA from 1 species
GUUGAACGCUAGCUACAGGCUUAACACAUGCAAGUCGAGGGACCGGCGCAUGGGUGAGUAACAGGUAUCCCACCUGCCCUUUACUCGGGGAUAGCCUUUCGAAAGAAAGAUUAAUACACGAUGUAAAGGAUGGGGAUGCGUUACUUGAGGUUGUUGGUGAGGUAACGGCUCACCAAGCCUUCGAUGGUGAGGGGUUGGGAGAGGAAGGUCCCCUGGAUUUGAACUGGUACCCAGACCAAAAUCCGACGGGAGGCUGCAGUAAGGAAUAGUGGUCAAUGGGCGUUAGCCUGAACCAGCCAAGUAGCGUGAAGGAGGAAGGCUUAGGGAUCGUAAACUUCUUUUAUAUAAGAAUAGGUAUUAUAUGAAUAAGGAUCGGCUAACUACGUGCCAGCAGCCGCGGUAAUAC